rnacentral:rRNA from 1 species
AGUGAACGCUGGCGGUAGGCCUAACACAUGCAAGUCGAACGGCAGCACAGGAGAGCUUGCUCUCUGGGUGGCGUGUGGCGGACGGGUGAGGAAUACAUCGGAAUCUACUCUGUCGUGGGGGAUAACGUAGGGAAACUUACGCUAAUACCGCAUACGACCUACGGGUGAAAGCAGGGGACCUUCGGGCCUUGCGCGAUUGAAUGAGCCGAUGUCGGGUUAGCUAGUUGGCGGGGUAAAGGCACACCAAUGGGACGAACCGUAGCUGGUCUGAGAGGAUGAUCAGCCACACGGGAACUGAGACACGGUCCAGACUCCUACGGGAGGCAGCAGUGGGGAAUAUUGGACAAUGGGCGCAAGCCUGAUCCAGCCAUACCGCGUGGGUGAAGAAGGCCUUCGGGUUGUAAAGCCCUUUUGUUGGGAAAGAAAUCCAGCUGGCUAAUACCCGGUUGGGAUGACGGUACCCAAAGAAUAAGCACCGGCUAACUUCGUGCCAGCCGCCGCCGUAA